rnacentral:rRNA from 1 species
UGCAGAAUCCCGUGAACCAUCGAGUCUUUGAACGCAAGUUGCGCCUGAAGCCAUUAGGCUGAGGGCACGCCUGCCUGGGUGUCA